rnacentral:rRNA from 1 species
GACCUAGUACAAGGUGCUGCAUGGCUGUCGUCAGCUCGUGUCGUGAAAUGUUCGGUUAAGUCCGGCAACGAGCGCAACCCACAUCCUUAGUUGCCAGCAGUUCGGCUGGGCACUCUAAGGAAACUGCCCGUGAUAAGCGGGAGGAAGGUGUGGAUGACGUCAAGUCCUCAUGGCCCUUACGGGUUGGGCUACACACGUGCUACAAUGGCAACUACAGUGGGUUAAUCCCCAAAAGUUGUCUCAGUUCGGAUUGUCGUCUGCAACUCGACGGCAUGAAGUCGGAAUCGCUAGUAAUCGCGUAACAGCAUGACGCGGUGAAUACGUUCCCGGGCCUUGUACACACCGCCCGUCACACCAUGGGAGUUGGGUUUACCCGAAGGCCGUGCGCUAACUUUUGAGGCAGCGGACCACGGUGAGCUCAGCGACUGGGGUGAAGUCGUAACAAGGUAGCCU